rnacentral:rRNA from 1 species
GUCUAUGGCCAACCCACCCUGAACAAGCCCAAUAUAUGAUCUCAGAAGCUAAGGUGGGUCGGGCCUGGUUAGUACUUGGAUGAGAGACCACCUAGGAAGACCUAGGAAGACCAGGUGCUGUAGGAA